GACGAACGCUGGCGGCGUGCUUAACACAUGCAAGUCGAACGGUAAGGCCCCUUCGGGGGUACACGAGUGGCGAACGGGUGAGUAACACGUGAGUAACCUGCCCUUGACACUGGGAUAACAGCUGGAAACAGCUGCUAAUACCGGAUACCAACCCUGAGGACAUCCCCAGGGUUUGAAAGCUCCGGCGGUCAAGGAUGGACUCGCGGCCUAUCAGCUUGUUGGUGAGGUAACGGCUCACCAAGGCGACGACGGGUAGCCGGCCUGAGAGGGCGACCGGCCACAUUGGGACUGAGAUACGGCCCAA
rnacentral:rRNA from 1 species